UCUAAGCAGACUUCCUAGGUAGCUCUGAAACAGGUGGUCUGUAGACCACACUUUAAGAAUUAUCUUCAAGGAUUGGGCUAGUUUUAGUUUGUAGUGAUUUCUUGUGUCUCUUAAUGAAGGCCUAGACAAUAUAGUCUGGAUUGAUUGGAUAAACACAGAGGAACAAGAGAGCGGCAGAAUUGUACCAUGCAUGCAGCAGGCCAUGCUCUACACGGGCCUCUCAGGAUGCAGCAGAGAGGUACCCUGGACACUGAAACUGGACAUUGUAGAAGAUGAAUUAUGAGAGUGAUUUAUGAAAGAAAGACAGUGGAGAAUUGCAAUCGAUGGAGACAUUCAAAGAAAAGACUUUGGCACUACAUCAAAAGAGAGUAGAAUAAAUGACGAAACUAAAGCACAAAGAGAUUAAAGAACUUAUCCAAGGUCAUGCAGCUGGAAAGAAGUGGAUUUGGGAUUGUGAACAUCACAAUUUCACAAACUACAUUUCAUGAUGGGUAGAGCUAGUCAAACGUCUGAAAAUAAAGUUUGGUUUAAAGAUGACCAUCGUCUUGUUAAGAAAUUAUAUAAAUGAGUAUCACUAAAAAGUCUCUCUUUAAACUCACCAAGCACUCUUCACUAUGGACAAGAAAGUGUGAAUAUGGUUAUUUUUUAUUUAAUAUUUUCAUGAUGAUUAACUGAAGGAUCUGACAGUAAAUAGUCUUUGGGUCUUUUUAAACUAAAACUCCUGUUGUUGUUGAUAGCAAUUGAUGCAAUUGAUAGUAAUGUGCUGUAUCCCUCAGAUGUAUUCCAGCUGAAGAAGGUGGAGAGCCACUAAAAUUUAUUGUUCUAUGUCAUUUUUCCAAAUCAUCUUUUGAUGACUGUCCAUCUACAUAUUGCUCAGUGGCUUUAUAUUUAGAACAUUAUUUGGGAAAUUGUAAUUUCAAAUAUUUUAACCUAUAAAUAUUCAAUGAAGCCUUGGCAAUGAAGAGUAAGACUUUAUAAAACCUUGAAUAUAUGAAUAGCACAGUUCUGGUUAUCUAUGUAACAACAUCCCCCAUAGUAACCUAAAACAAUGACAUUACUAUAUCCCAUGAUUCUGUGGAUUGCCUGGGCUUAGGUGGUAAGUUCUCAGGGUGUUGCUCAUUGUCACACCCAGAUAGCAGCUAGAACUAGAGUCAUCUGCAAACUCCUUUUUCUUGUGUGGACCAUCCAAGGUAGGUUUCUCAUGCACAUAUCUAGUGCUUUGGUGCUUCUUGGCCUCUCUCUUUCCACAUUGUAUCUCAUCUUCCUGGCCUCUCCACAUGGCUUGGGCUUCUUGUUGCAUGGUGUUACGAGGUACUCACACUGCUAACACAGUAGCUGACUUUCAAGAUACACAAAUUGGACCCUUUUAGACCAAUUAAGGGCUAUGGUGAAACUGGAGCAGUAUCACUCUCAUUGUAUUCUAUUGGCCAAAGUAGCAGAGGGCCUGAUCAGACCCAAAGAGGUAGAGAAAUAGAUUCUACUUCUCAAUGGGGGAGUACCAAGUUCAUAUUGCACAAGGGGAUGUAGAAUGGGAACUAUUGUUGUUAUCAUUAGGUAAUACAGUCUGCCUAAAGUACUAUAUCACCUAAUUAGACUUGCUUUGCACAUGAUGACCAGGAGGAAACAAGAUACUGUUUUGGAAUGUACUCACUAAGCAGCUGCCUAGAUGCUGCUUACCUAACAAGUGCCUUGUUUCCACUCAAGGUCAUGGAUCUUUGGGAGUCUAAUAAGAGUGAUGAAAAAUUAUUCAUAGGUCUCCUUCCUUUACUAUACAAUCCUCGCUGCUAAGAGAAAGAUGGGCAAAGGACCUGGGAUGGAUAUCUUUGUGAAUCUAUCAAUAAUGGAUAAAAUAUCUCAUUUGUCUGCUUUCCUUAUUAUCUAAUUCUUCCCUCUUAGAGGAGUCUGAGCAAAGGAGCCUAGACUGGGUGUAUGGUGGAGAGUCAGUAACUAGGAGUAGAAUCUAAAUCAAAUCAAUAGUGUCCUAGUUAACCAAAUCAAAGAGUAAAUGUACAGAAACACAGGAAACCAUGCAGGGUAAUCAAGACUAAAAUUCUGGGUUAUAAGGAACAGCCUAAAACAAUUCUGAGUUGCAAAAUAAAUGGCACCAAUAAUCUUAUACUAAAUUUCAGAAUGUUAGGAUAGGCCUUAUUCUGCUUAAGAUCAGAAUUGGUUCAAGAUACUGGGUUGGAGUUGAACUAGAAGGUUGUAGGUUGGUAGCCCCAGCUAGAAGGAGAGGCCUAGGAGGAUGCCAAGGAGUAAUUGGUAAGUUGCAAAUGUUGAGUUCCUACCAUGGACUUCUGCAGCAAUUGGUGACUGAUUUGUUAGAUGUUGCAGAGAGACUCAAAACAACUAUCAAUCAUCCUGUUAAUUAAAAAUAUUCAUUGGAUUU
rnacentral:lncRNA from 1 species